rnacentral:lncRNA from 1 species
UUGAUAAUAAUUUCAUUACUCCAUAAAAAUAAACAUAAAACCCACAUCAUUGUCAUAACGAUAACUAUUGUAAUUCAUCUCACAAUUACAAAAUAUGGAUAUGAUAUGAGUUGUAGAAGACUUAAAUCCUAGUUAUAAAAUAAGGUCAUGAGUUUCUAGGUUAGCCAUGUGAUAAUUGAUUAGUCGAGCUUGGAAAAUUUACAAAGGCCUUUCACCAAGUUCUACAAAAAAAGAAAGUCGGGAGCUAGCAUUCACCAACCACUUUCAUCCCAGAAACAAUUCACCAACACCAUCAUAUAUUCUAUUAG